CCCGUACCGCAAACCGACACAGGUAGUCGAGGAGAGAAUCCUAAGGUGAGCGAGUGAACUCUCGUUAAGGAACUCGGCAAAAUGACCCCGUAACUUCGGGAGAAGGGGUGCUGAUCGCAAGAUCAGCCGCAGUGAAUAGGCCCAGGCGACUGUUUAUCAAAAACACAGGUCUCUGCAAAAUCGUAAGAUGACGUAUAGGGGCUGACGCCUGCCCGGUGCUGGAAGGUUAAAAGGAUGGGUUAGCUUCGGCGAAGCUCAGAAUUGAAGCCCCAGUAAACGGCGGCCGUAACUAUAACGGUCCUAAGGUAGCGAAAUUCCUUGUCGGGUAAGUUCCGACCCGCACGAAAGGCGUAACGAUCUGGGC
rnacentral:rRNA from 1 species